CUGUGCUCGGUCUCUCAUGCAUCAUUCGACCAAGUGGUCGAGUUGGUAAAGGGGGCUGGGCAGGGGGCAGUGAUGACCAAGGUGGAUAUCGAGGCUGCGUUCCGGUUGUUGCCCGUGCACCCAGCGAGCAAUCACCUGCUGGGUUGCUUUUUCGAAGGGCGGUUCUUUGUUGACCUUUGCCUUCCCAUGGGUUGUUCCAAUUCUUGCUCGUACUUUAAGUUCAGCUCAUUCCUGG